UCCCUCCAGAUUCCUUAGCCCACAGAUCUCAACACUGUCGGAGUAGCUUUUUUAAAAAGGAGGGGAAGUAAAAGUGAAAUGGAUUUGGGGCCUUUAAGUGACAAACACGUUCAUUUCAAACAUGU
ensembl:snoRNA